GUUUUAACUUUGGCUCUCACAUGAGUGCUCUGACACAUCCGUGCUGUCUGCACGUCUGGGUAGCGUUUGCAUGUGGAUGCCUCCUGAGAUUCCAGGCAGCUCAGAAAAGGAAACAUCUAAUUUGUAUUUGCUAAGGUAUCAGGCUUACAGGCAUCAGGAGCUGAAAAAAAUCCAGCCUCCAGGAGUUUCCAGUGGCAUCAGGAGGAUCACACUCUCUGCCUCACCCUCGCUGCUACCACCACGUACCAAAUUGCGUGUAUAAUUCUGCCCUUUGUGCAGCAGACGUGAAAUGGUCUUGAUCUGAUCCCGAGUUUUCUUCCUUUGAAUUCAUUCAGAUCUCAGAAUUCAUCUGUAAUUAUGUAUAAUUAAUUUCUCCUUACAGGACGCUUUUGAGAUGGGAGCUGAUAAGGAACAAUAAGAAAACUUCUUCUUUUGCAUAUCUCUCCCUGGAACAAGCCCCAUGACUGGUUGCAACCUGUAAUAAAAAUGCCAUAUGCAAGAGGAUAUAUUUAAUAUCGGGAAGGCAAAACAGAACGAUAUGAUCUGUUUGGGGUUUGAAGAUUUGAAGAAAAAGAAUAUCUCCUUGAAGAUGAGAUAAUCCUGGUGGAACAAUCCUGUAAUAUCUGCUGAAAAAUGCAUGCAAGACUGAAUUGUGAACUUUCAAAUGAGAACAUUUUAGACGUGUGCAGCGUGUUGCCUCUAAUUUAAAUUCCCAUAAUUCUAUCUUUGAAGUUCUUGGUACUUUAGACUUAAAAGGCAGAACUGCAUAUUCUUUGUGCUCGGGAAAGGAGACAAGACCUUUAUAGUUUCAGAAUGGGCCUUUUUUUUUUUCCUUAAGGAAAAAUGUAAUUGCAUACAAACUGCAAAUCUCUCUAAACAAUUCUCAUCGGUUGCCUGAAGAGUCCCUUGGCUGAAUUAUAAAUCACGAUAAAGUGUACCAAAAAAGAAUCGGGGCAUAAAUGAGUUUUGGAGCUGUCUAGUCUAGGGUUCUGUAAGGUAAUUAAAUCAAGGAGACUUUCUGAUCUAUGGAAGGGUCAAUGUAUCAGGGCAGUGCUUUGAACCAUGGUCUCAUUAAGACACAAUUGCUGCCUUCGCUUCCCAGAUUGUUUAUAACAGCAGGCUUAUUCCUAAGCAGUCAAUAACUAGAGAACAUAAAUCACUGCACAGAAAGAGUUAUUCCCAGUUUAUGGGCCAGAUCCUCAGCUCGUAUAAAUCACUGUUUUCCCAAUGAUGUCACCUCAGCCGUGCUUUAUUUAUACAAUCCAAAGACCUGUCUCAUACUGUUCUCAUUUUAUUGGCUUUUAUUGACUCAUUCUGUAGGUACAGAUUUUCAUAUAUGAAAUGAAGGUAGAGAUAACUGAGCUAUGUGAAAAGUAAUUUUUGUAAAAUUUUCAGGGGAAAAAUGGAA